rnacentral:rRNA from 1 species
CACGUAGGGGACGAGCGUUGUCCGGAUUCAUUGGGCGUAAAGCGCGCGUAGGCGGCUCGGAAAGUCGGUCGUGAAAUGCCGGGGCUCAACCCCGGGACUGCGUCCGAUACUCCCGAGCUGGAGGCAGGUAGGGGAGAUCGGAAUUCCUGGUGUAGCGGUGAAAUGCGCAGAUAUCAGGAGGAACACCGGUGGCGAAGGCGGAUCUCUGGGCCGAUACUGACGCUGAGGAGCGAAAGCAUGGGUAGCGAACAGG